rnacentral:rRNA from 1 species
UACGUAGGUGGCAAGCGUUAUCCGGAAUAACUGGGCGUAAAGCGCACGCAGGCGGUCUGUUAAGUUUGACGUGAAAGCUCCCGGCUUAACUGGGAGAGGUCGUUGAAGACUGGCAGACUUGAGGCGAUGAGAGGGGUGUAGAAUUCCCGGUGUAGUGGUGGAAUGCGUAGAUAUCGGGGGGAAUACCAGUGGCGAAAGCGGCACCCUAGCGUUAGCCUGACGCUCAUGUGCGAAAGCGUGGGGAGCGAACGGG